rnacentral:tRNA from 1 species
GGUUCUGUCGUGUAAUGGUUAGCACUUUGGACUCUGAAUCCAACGAUCCGAGUUCAAAUCUCGGCAGGAACA